rnacentral:lncRNA from 1 species
UACUAAAAUGCGAAAUCGGUGGGUGCGAAACGUCAACAGAACGUCAACAGACGACGCCAUUAACAUACUUGCGUCACAAAAAUCUACUCGUCAAGAUAAAAACACCUUGCCUUCGAGUUAGUUUAUCCUAGUUUCUGUUUUGUAUAUAAUUCGUUAAAUUAAAAGGAUAUUACAGUUUUGUGUAUUUACCUAUUGUAUUCAUGAUUUUGAUUUGUGAUUCACGUUAUUUGCCAUUCAAUCACCGCAAUACUUCUUAAACUUGAUAAUUAAAGUCAUGGGAGAUGUCCACUUCAUGAAACUUGCUUUGUCGUUUUGCUGAAGUAAGCUGUCUUUCUGCAAAGAAAUAAAUGAGAGUAAAGAAAAAACUUCCCAAUGUGAGGUGACAUGAUGUUUCACCUGAUACAUUGUAACCUACAUUCUCUGAGGUAAUACAUCUACUGUUUCUGAGAAAACCUUGGUGGAAUUCUGAGAGUGGUAAUAGUUUCAUAGCUCAUGCUGCCCAAGUAAUAGUGUGGAGCAGGCGUAUCUGUGCUUUACUUUUGCUACAAGCGCUAGAAGAUUGGCAUCACAAAUCAAAUCUUUGUAUUUUCAAUCUACAAUUCAGGUGGAUACAAUAUGUGUGCAUGUGCGCAUGGAAAGAACGCUCGUGUCGAUGACUUUGUCAACGGGGGAAAAAUGUUAAGCUUAAUUUGCUCGAUAAUAGAAUUUGUUUUAAUCUUUUCUUCUUUUAUUAUCAUUAGGUGGUGUAGGCUGAUUUAUUUCAUACCUCGGUUGAAUCACUCAUCAGCCCGUCCCAAGACGCAUAGCUGACUUUUGACUUCAAUUUUUCAUAAUUUAAACCGAAAUAAAGUAGCGGCUGAAGAAAUGAAAUUUAAUUGCUCCCCCCUUUCAAUGUCUUAAAUAAAAUAAUCCCACAGCGCCCAGCGGGGUACAUUAACACAUUGUUACGUCGUCGACGUUCUCUAUGUCAUUCGAUCAAUCUGUUUCUCUUAGCCGGAAUUUCUCUCAACAGUUGUUCGCCGAGGAAAAUCGGCUGACCAAGUCAAAUGGAAAAAACUAUCAGCCGAUAGCAGCCCGGCGUCUAAAUAUAUAUAGCUAUUCGAUUGAAAUUUAUUGAAAAUGCCACCCAGCUAAAACGUGCUGAAAGCUUCUUCCGCCUCUAUUCCACAAAGACUUAAUUGGAGAUUUCUCAUUCAAGAGCUCAUCCGAGGGACCCCCGUGCUCUUGAAGAAACAAGAGUAAUCGAGUCGACUAAAUAAAUUUAAUUUGAUAAGACUGUUUUCCCAUGAAAUACAAACAUUUUAUUUUCAAAA